UACGGAGGGGGGCUAGCGUUGUUCGGAAUUACUGGGCGUAAAGCGCGCGUAGGCGGCUUUGUAAGUUAGAGGUGAAAGCCCAGGGCUCAACCCUGGAAUUGCCUUUAAGACUGCAUCGCUUGAACAUCGGAGAGGUAAGUGGAAUUCCGAGUGUAGAGGUGAAAUUCGUAGAUAUUCGGAAGAACACCAGUGGCGAAGGCGACUUACUGGACGAUUGUUGACGCUGAGGUGCGAAAGCGUGGGGUAGCAAAACAGG
rnacentral:rRNA from 1 species